rnacentral:tRNA from 1 species
CGGACUGUGGCGCAGCUUGGUAGCGCACCGUCAUGGGGUGUCGGGGGUCGCUGGUUCAAAUCCAGUCAGUCCGACCA